GAUGAACGCUGGCGGCGUGCCUAAUACAUGCAAGUCGAGCGAACAGACGAGGAGCUUGCUCCUCUGACGUUAGCGGCGGACGGGUGAGUAACACGUGGAUAACCUACCUAUAAGACUGGGAUAACUUCGGGAAACCGGAGCUAAUACCGGAUAAUAUAUUGAACCGCAUGGUUCAAUAGUGAAAGACGGUUUUGCUGUCACUUAUAGAUGGAUCCGCGCCGCAUUAGCUAGUUGGUAAGGUAACGGCUUACCAAGGCAACGAUGCGUAGCCGACCUGAGAGGGGGGGCCGGCCCACCGGAACCUGGACCACGGCCCAGCCUCCACGGGGAGGCGGAGGGGGGAAUUUUUCCGAAAGGGGCAAAGGCCUACCGAGGCAACCCCGGGGGAGUAAGGAAGGUUUCCGGUUCGAAAAUCUUUUUUUUUGGGGAAAAAAAAAUUUUUAAAAAACUAUGCGCGUUUGGCCGGUCCCUAAUAAGAAGGCCCCGCUUACUUCCGG
rnacentral:rRNA from 1 species